AACGUAGGUGGCGAGCGUUAUCCGGAUUUACUGGGCGUAAAGCGUGUGCAGGCGGACGGCCAAGUGGUGUAUGAAAUCGCCCGGCUUAACCGGGCGAGGUUAUGCCAGACUGGUCGUCUGGAGUACGGGAGAGGGGCGUGGAAUUCCGGGUGUAGUGGUGAAAUGCGUAGAGAUCCGGAGGAACCCCAGCGGCGAAGGCGGCGCCCUGGCCCGAUACUGACGCUCAGACACGACAGCAUGGGGAG
rnacentral:rRNA from 1 species